CCUACGGGUGGCAGCAGUCGAGAAUCAUUCACAAUGGGGGAAACCCUGAUGGUGCGACGCCGCGUGGGGGAAUGAAGGUCUUCGGAUUGUAAACCCCUGUCAUGUGGGAGCAAAUUAAAAAGAUAGUACCACAAGAGGAAGAGACGGCUAACUCUGUGCCAGCAGCCGCGGUAAUACAGAGGUCUCAAGCGUUGUUCGGAAUCACUGGGCGGAAAGCGUGCGUAGGCUGUUUCGUAAGUCUUGUGUGAAAGGCGCGGGCUCAACCCGCGGACGGCACGUGAUACUGCGAGACUAGAGUAAUGGAGGGGGAACCGGAAUUCUCGGUGUAGCAGUGAAAUGCGUAGAUAUCGAGAGGAACACUCGUGGCGAAGGCGGGUUCCUGGACAUUAACUGACGCUGAGGCACGAAGGCCAGGGGAGCGAAAGGGAUUAGAUACCCCAGUAGUC
rnacentral:rRNA from 1 species